rnacentral:rRNA from 1 species
GACGAACGCUGGCGGCGUGCUUAACACAUGCAAGUCGAACGGAAAGGCCCUGCUUUUGUGGGGUGCUCGAGUGGCGAACGGGUGAGUAACACGUGAGUAACCUGCCCUUGACUUUGGGAUAACUUCAGGAAACUGGGGCUAAUACCGGAUAGGAGCUCCUGCUGCAUGGUGGGGGUUGGAAAGUUUCGGCGGUUGGGGAUGGACUCGCGGCUUAUCAGCUUGUUGGUGGGGUAGUGGCUUACCAAGGCUUUGACGGGUAGCCGGCCUGAGAGGGUGACCGGCCACAUUAGGACUAAGAUACGGCCCAGACUCCUACGGGAGGCAGCAGUGGGGAAUAUGGCACAAUGGGCGGAAGCCUGAUGCAGAAACGCCGCGUGCGGGAUGACGGCCUUCGGGUUGUAAACCGCUUUCGCCUGUGACGAAGCGUGAGUGACGGUAAUGGGUAAAGAAGCACCGGCUAACUACGUG